UGAAAAACAAAUUGUGUAAAACGUUUUUUGAUUGAAUUGUUUGAGAAUAUUGCAUUAAAAAUUAAAAAUAAUAAAUAAGUAAUUUGGUAAUUUGUUUUUUUGUUUUGUGUGUGUGUGUGUGUGUGUGUGUGCGUGUUUUUGUCACCAGACGUGAUGCAGCUUUAUUAAGACAACCGGGGAAAGGUCACCUUCAA